rnacentral:lncRNA from 1 species
UGGGAAAACUUUACAGAGGAAGAAAGAGAAGGCUUCAGCACCUGAUAAAGGCCCUUCCAACAAGAUUCAAGAGCAGUUUUCUCCAGUAUCUCUUCCAGUCGAUGAAAUCUCCUGGUGGAAGCUUAUGAAGAGGUUGUUUAGGAAGACAUUGUGGGAAGGUGGUCUUCACUUUUGAUGACAGAGCCCGUGAGGACCCCUCAGCAGGGGCUCCUGAAGAAGACCUCUGCCCAAGGCCUCAGAUAGAGACCUGUGGCUGUCAACACUGAGAAGAGCUUGACGGUCAGCGGAGCUGAGUCCUUGACGGCAGCUGCCUUUGGGGACCGCAGUGCGCGGCUGGGCGUUCUCUGAGUGGAGUCUUAUCAGUCGGCUGCUUUUUUG